GUUUUCGGAUCGUAAAGCUCUGUUGUUAGGGAAGAACAAGUGCCGUUCGAAUAGGGCGGCACCUUGACGGUACCUAACCAGAAAGCCCCGGCUAACUACGUGCCAGCAGCCGCGGUAAUACGUAGGGGGCAAGCGUUGUCCGGAAUUAUUGGGCGUAAAGCGCGCGCAGGCGGUCCUUUAAGUCUGAUGUGAAAGCCCACGGCUCAACCGUGGAGGGUCAUUGGAAACUGGAGGACUUGAGUACAGAAGAGGAGAGUGGAAUUCCACGUGUAGCGGUGAAAUGCGUAGAGAUGUGGAGGAACACCAGUGGCGAAGGCGACUCUCUGGUCUGUAACUGACGCUGAGGCGCGAAAGCGUGGGGAGCGAACAGGAUUAGAUACCCUGGUAGUCCACGCCGUAAACGAUGAGUGCUAGGUGUUAGGGGGUUUCCGCCCCUUAGUGCUGAAGUUAACGCAUUAAGCACUCCGCCUGGGGAGUACGGCCGCAAGGCUGAAACUCAAAAGAAUUGACGGGGGCCCGCACAAGCGGUGGAGCAUGUGGUUUAAUUCGACGCAACGCGAAGAACCUUACCAGGUCUUGACAUCCUCUGCAAUCGGUAGAGAUACCGAGUUCCCUUCGGGGACAGAGUGACAGGUGGUGCAUGGUUGUCGUCAGCUCGUGUCGUGAGAUGUUGGGUUAAGUCCCGCAACGAGCGCAACCCUUGAUCUUAGUUGCCAGCAUUUAGUUGGGCACUCUAAGGUGACUGCCGGU
rnacentral:rRNA from 1 species